UUAGGAUCUAGACCUGGCAUAUCUUCAUACGACCAUGCAAAAAUAUCCGGGUAUUCUCGGAGGAGCUGGAUGAUCUUCUUUUUAACCCCUUCCUCUAGAGCAGCACCGACCUUGAUUUCUCGCCUUGUUCUCCUCGGUACCUAUGUUGAUAAGUUCAAUCUCUUCCUGG
rnacentral:pre_miRNA from 1 species